rnacentral:rRNA from 1 species
CUGGAACGCGCCUCGGCGCACCCAGAAACCCUUUGUGAACUUAUACCUUAUUGUUGCCUCGGCGAAGGCCGGCCUCUCUCUUCUGAGGCCCCCCGGAGACGGGGAGCAGCCCGCCGGCGGCCAACCAAACUCUUGUUUCUUAGUGAAUCUCUGAGUAAAAAAACAUAAAUGAAUCAAAACUUUCAACAACGGAUCUCUUGGUUCUGGCAUCGAUGAAGAACGCAGCGAAAUGCGAUAAGUAAUGUGAAUUGCAGAAUUCAGUGAAUCAUCGAAUCUUUGAACGCACAUUGCGCCCUCUGGUAUUCCGGAGGGCAUGCCUGUUCGAGCGUCAUUUCAACCCUCAAGCCUGGCUUGGUGUUGGGGCACUGCUUCGAGAGAAGCAGGCCCUGAAAUCUAGUGGCGAGCUCGCUAGGACCCCGAGCGUAUAGUUAUAUCUCGUUCUGGAAGGCCCUGGCGGUGCCCUGCCGUUAAACCCCCAACUUCUGAAAUUUUGACCUCG